ensembl:snRNA U6 U6 spliceosomal RNA
GUGCUCACUUUGGCAGCACAUAUACUAAAACUGGAACAAAACAAAGAAGAUUAGCAUGGCUCCUGCGCAAGGAUGACACGCAAAUUUGUGAAGCGUUCCAUAUUUUC